GGACGGAUACUAUUUCUUAAAUUGCAGAAUGGACCCCUUUUUUUCUUUGACGUCGGUGGAUGAGAGAGUUAAACUAAUAGUAAUAGAGAUAUUCGCAUAGUCAUGUACUUUUUCGUUCACGGGAGAUGUAUGGGAAGGUUUGGUUACAUGGUCGACAUAACAUCAUUUUAAUUUAUUAUUUGAUUGUAUAUUAUAAAAAUUAGAUUAGAUAGAUAAGAAGAUAUGUAAUGUAUUAUUAAAUAAUUUGAAUAGAUUAGGAUAUAGUCAUAUAGUACAUAAUAUAGUGGUUUGAAAUUAGAUGUUGUUAUCGUAAUAUAGUGGCAUUAGGAUAUAACUAAAUUCUUUAAUAUCUGUUUUUAGUAGGUAUUGUAUGAAUUUAAAUCGUUGCCAUAAUAUAUAAUAUAUAAUGAAAACUUACAUAAAUUAAAAAAUAGUUUGAACGGAAGCACAAAUUCUUACAAGAAUUUUUUUGAAUACUAAUUUUCAUUUAAAUAUUUUUAUUUAAACUCUUCGGCUAUUUUUUUGUCUUUUGAAUUUCUAAGGGAUAACGUCCUAUUUCCCCAUCAAAACUAUCUUAUCGUACUAGAUGGAGCCGGAACUUUGACAUCGUCGUAAGUAUCCACAAAACAAGAUCUCUCAACCUAUAUAUCUCCAAAUCUAAAGUUCUCAUUUACUUCUCCAUAUUUUUUGGUUUAAUCGAUUUACAAAUUAAACCGCUAGAAAACCAGUCAAACCAGAUAUAAAACAUAGUUUAAAACCCGAUUGACCUUAUAAACCCGACCCGGUCUAAGAAUUUUUAUAACCCGAUCAGAAAUUCUCAAACCUAAGAACCCUAAAAUCAUCAUUUUCUAAAAUCAUCAUUUUCUAAAAUCAUGAACACCGUCUCUUGCAUUGGGGCAAUAUGUUUCAGGUGGGUGCAUAAACCCAGCCAAUUUCCUACCAAACUCUCGCUUAUCCACCACUGGCGCCAAGAGAAGCCCUCGUGACUUCCACAUUCCAAUUUUAUCUUCAUUUCUGAUCGGAUUUGAUGUGUUCUUGGUUCAGUGAACCAUGAUUCCAAUCACCAGAACUUGAAUAAACCCAACUAAGAGUUUUGGAGCUGCAAUCGUCUAUAAAAAAGGACCACGUGAAUCUCCAUUAUAUACAACAAUUAUGAUUGAUCUUUUAUGUCAAUUUGGUUGAAUUGUUUAUUUGAUUUUUCUUGGAUGCAGUGGAUUUUCUGGGUUGGACGGACCAUUCAUCCGAGCAGCCUUCAUUAGCAUUCAAAAGCAGAAGCUGAUUUUUUUUUUUUGGGUUUUUAGAAGUUCACAGUUGCUUUAUCUUUGUUUGUAUUGAGCUUUGACAUUUUUGAGAUCUGGUCAUAUUUGUUUAAAUGGAUUUUUCUAUUUCUUC